CGAGAUGGCACCGUCUGGGCGAAAGGGAGUCCGGUUCCUAUUCCGGAACCCGGCCGCGGAACCGCUCCAAUUCGGGCCCUCAUCCGAGGACUCGUCGGGGUGACCCGAAAUGACCCGGAGAAGCCGUAGGGAGGUCCGGGGAGAGUUGUCUCUUCUCUAUAAGCGUUCGAGUUCCCUGGAAGCCUCUAGGAGGGAGAUAGGGUUUGGAACGCGAAGAGCACCUCACUUACGGCGGUGUCCGGAUCUUCCCCUCGGACCUUGAAAAUCCGGGCGAGGGCCACGAGGAACACCGCGCCGGCUCGUACCCAUAUCCGCAGCAGGUCUCCAAGGUGAAUAGCCUCUAGUCGAUAGAAUAAUGUAGGUAAGGGAAGUCGGCAAACCCGAUCUGUAACUUCGGGAUAAGGAUUGGCUCUGAGGAUCGUGGCGCGCCGGGCUUGGUCGGGAAGUGGAGCGGUGCCAACGUGCCGGGCCUGGGCGAGGUGAAGGGCGCUCGUCGUCCGGACCCUAGCUCGGUCCCGUGCCUUGGCCACCCACGGACCUUCCUUGCUGCGAGCCUCCCGGCUGUCUAGUUUUCGGCUACAGCCGGAGUACGGGCCGGAAGGCUCUUCGGCCGCCAUAGAACGAUCAACUUAGAACUGGCACGGACCUGGGGAAUCCGACUGUCUAAUUAAAACAAAGCAUUGCGAUGGCCCUAAGGGGUGAUGACGCAAUGUGAUUUCUGCCCAGUGCUCUCUGAAUGUCAACGUGAAGAAAUUCAAGCAAGCGCGGGUAAACGGCGGGAGUAACUAUGACUCUCUUAAGG
rnacentral:rRNA from 1 species